rnacentral:rRNA from 1 species
UAAUACAGAGGGUGCAAGCGUUAAUCGGAGUUACUGGGCGUAAAGGGCGCGUAGGUGGUUGUAUGAGUGUGAUGUGAAAGCCCCGGGCUUAACCUGGGAAGUGCAUCGCAAACGAUAUAACUAGAGUAUAUGAGAGGGUGGCGGAAUUUCCGGUGUAGCGGUGAAAUGCGUAGAGAUCGGAAGGAACGUCGAUGGCGAAGGCAGCUGCCUGGCAUAAUACUGACACUGAGGCGCGAAAGCGUGGGGAGCGAACAGGAUUAGAUACCCUGGUAGUCCACGCUGUAAACGAUGAGGACUAGAUGUUGGGAGGGGAACCUUUCAGUAUCGAAGCAAACGCGAUAAGUCUUCCGCCUGGGAAGUACGGCCGCAAGGUUG